rnacentral:pre_miRNA from 1 species
UAGGUACUCCCUCCAUCCCAAAAUUAUUGUCUUAGUUUUGUUUAGAAAUGGAUGUAUCUAAAUACCAAAAUGUGACUAGAUACAUUCAUAUUUAGACAAACCUAAAACAAGAAUUUUGAGACGGAGGGAGUACAUC